AUGAACGCUGGCGGCGUGCCUAAUACAUGCAAGUCGCGCGAACAGACGAGGAGCUUGCUCCUCUGACGUUAGCGGCGGACGGGUGAGUAACACGUGGAUAACCUACCUAUAAGACUGGGAUAACUUCGGGAAACCGGAGCUAAUACCGGAUAAUAUAUUGAACCGCAUGGUUCAAUAGUGAAAGACGGUUUUGCUGUCACUUAUAGAUGGAUCCGCGUCGCAUUAGCUAGUUGGUAAGGUAACGGCUUACCAAGGCAACGAUGCGUAGCCGACCUGAGAGGGUGAUCGGCCACACUGGAACUGAGACACGGUCCAGACUCCUACGGGAGGCAGCAGUAGGGAAUCUUCCGCAAUGGGCGAAAGCCUGACGGAGCAACGCCGCGUGAGUGAUGAAGGUCUUCGGAUCGUAAAACUCUGUUAUUAGGGAAGAACAAAUGUGUAAGUAACUAUGCACGUCUUGACGGUACCUAAUCAGAAAGCCACGGCUAACUACGUG
rnacentral:rRNA from 1 species